UUGUGAGUAAAUUUGACCUUGAGGACCUGUCCUUCACACAUUUCAGUUACUUAAUAGCAAACAGGAAGUAUCAGUUGCCGGACGGUUCGUUCAGGAAACAGAAAAAAGGAUAUGAGUAAGUACAUGUUGCAGCACUAACCACAACCCUUCGAUUCAGAUGAGAGACUGAAGUGAUAUAGUAUGAAGGUUGAGGAGUUGACGGGGGCUCUCAGGUGACCAAGGAACGGAUAAAUGCCACACAGAUCGUGUGCACGACGGAGAAGUGGGAUAUCAUCACUAGGAAAGGAGGGGAGAGAACUUGUACACAACUUGUCAGAUUAAUGAUCUUUAAACAUGGAAACUACACAAGAAGAUGUACAACUUGUUGGUCUCAGUGCCACACUACCAAACUACAAGGAUGUAGCGACCUUCCUGCACUUGGAACCCUCUGGAGGUCAGCUCUUUUCUGACACGAGUUUCCGACCUGUACCACUAGAACAACAGUUUAUCAAAAUAAUAGUGUGGAAACCGGUGAAGAGGUUUGAGAUAAUGAAUGAGGUUGUAUAUGAAAAGGUUAUGGAGCAUGCAGGCAAU